rnacentral:rRNA from 1 species
AACGAACGCUGGCGGCAUGCCUAACACAUGCAAGUCGAACGAGACCUUCGGGUCUAGUGGCGCACGGGUGCGUAACGCGUGGGGACCUGCCCUUGGGUUCGGAAUAACUCACCGAAAGGGGUGCUAAUACCGGAUAAUGUCUUCGGACCAAAGAGUUAUCGCCUUUGGAUGGGCCCGCGUUGGUUUAGCUGGUUGGUAGGGUAAAAGCCUACCAAGGCGACGAUGCAUAGCUGGUCGGAGAGGAUGAUCAGCCACACUGGGACUGAGACACGGCCCAGUCUCCUACGGGAGGCAGCAGUAGAGAAUAUUAUACGAUGGGCCAUAGCCUGAUCCAGCAAUGCCGCGUGUGUGAUGAAUGCCUUAGGGUUGUAAAGCUCUCUUACCCGGGAUGAUAAUGACAGUACCGGGUGAAUAAGCUCCGGCUAACUCCGUG